rnacentral:rRNA from 1 species
UAAUGCAUCGGAACGUGCCAUUGAGUGGGGGAUAACUAUCCGAAAGGAUAGCUAAUACCGCAUAUUCUGUGAGCAGGAAAGCAGGGGAUCGCAAGACCUUGCGCUCUUUGAGCGGCCGAUGUCAGAUUAGCUAGUUGGUGGGGUAAAGGCUCACCAAGGCGACGAUCUGUAGCGGGUCUGAGAGGAUGAUCCGCCACACUGGGACUGAGACGCGGCCCAGACUCCUACGGGAGGCAGCAGUGGGGAAUUUUGGACAAUGGGGGCAACCCUGAUCCAGCCAUGCCGCGUGAGUGAAGAAGGCCUUCGGGUUGUAAAGCUCUUUCGGCCGGGAAGAAAUCGCAUCUCCUAAUACGGGGUGUGGAUGACGGUACCGGACUAAGAAGCACCGGCUAACUACGUGCCAGCAGCCGCGGUAAUACGUAGGGUGCGAGCGUUAAUCGGAAUUACUGGGCGUAAAGCGUGCGCAGGCGGUUUUUUAAGACAGGCGUGAAAUCCCCGGGCUUAACCUGGGAACUGCGCUUGUGACUGGAAGGCUAGAGUACGGCAGAGGGGGGUGGAAUUCCACGUGUAGCAGUGAAAUGCGUAGAGAUGUGGAGGAACACCGAUGGCGAAGGCAGCCCCCUGGGCCGAUACUGACGCUCAUGCACGAAAGCGUGGGGAGCAAACAGGAUUAGAUACCCUGGUAGUCCACGCCCUAAACGAUGUCAACUAGGUGUUGGGUGGGUAAAACCAUUUAGUACCGGAGCUAACGCGUGAAGUUGACCGCCUGGGGAGUACGGCCGCAAGGUUAAAACUCAAAGGAAUUGACGGGGACCCGCACAAGCGGUGGAUGAUGUGGAUUAAUUCGAUGCAACGCGAAAAACCUUACCUACCCUUGACAUGUCCAGGAGCCUGAAGAGAUUUAGGUGUGCCCGAAAGGGAACUGGAACACAGGUGCUGCAUGGCUGUCGUCAGCUCGUGUCGUGAGAUGUUGGGUUAAGUCCCGCAACGAGCGCAACCCUUGUCGUUAAUUGCCAUCAUUUGGUUGGGCACUUUAACGAGACUGCCGGUGACAAACCGGAGGAAGGUGGGGAUGACGUCAAGUCCUCAUGGCCCUUAUGGGUAGGGCUUCACACGUCAUACAAUGGUCGGUACAGAGGGUUGCCAAGCCGCGAGGUGGAGCCAAUCCCAGAAAGCCGAUCGUAGUCCGGAUCGGAGGCUGCAACUCGCCUCCGUGAAGUCGGAAUCGCUAGUAAUCGCGGAUCAGCAUGUCGCGGUGAAUACGUUCCCGGGUCUUGUACACACCGCCCGUCACACCAUGGGAGCGGGUUCCACCAGAAGUAGGUAGCCUAACC